rnacentral:rRNA from 1 species
UACGUAGGGGGCUAGCGUUGUUCGGAAUUACUGGGCGUAAAGAGUGUGUAGGCGGUGCUCUAAGUUCGGUGUGAAAUCUCCUGGCUCAACUGGGAGGGUGCGCCGGAAACUGGAGUGCUUGAGCGUGGGAGAGGAAAGCGGAAUUCCUGGUGUAGCGGUGAAAUGCGUAGAUAUCAGGAGGAACACCUGUGGUGUAGACGGCUUUCUGGACCAUAGCUGACGCUGAGACACGAAAGCGUGGGUAGCAAACAGG